UGAAGAUGGUGGUGUCAUCUACGAUAGAGGACCAGGUUCGCCUCCGAAUCCGAAGCUGCUCGACGCUGAACCACCCGAGGCUGCACAACAAGUUUGAGGACCACCACGACUCUCACCACUUCGCUAAGUCCCGUUAUCAUCCGGGCCGUCUAUUAUCGCAUACAAGAUAGCACUAAGGAUGCUCAACUCGCAAACGAAGGCCAAAGCGUACAACAGCCAGCUGAUCCGGUUUGGGUGUCCAACGGAAGUCACCCGCGGAGGCCAAGAGUUGCGGGUUCGUCUCAAAACGGUGGAUAACAUCAAGCAGUUCUACUGCCAACCUCUCCGCGAAUCGACGUCGAAAACGUCGACCUGGUCAUCAACGGAAAUCCGCGACAGCGGGCUGGAACCGGUUUCUGAGGUGGCACCUGAACUGGACGAACAGGACGAAAAAAGGAUGAAUCAGCGUGGGGCGACCUGUUUCUGGCUGCGUUGGAAAACGCGAGCUGGGCAAGUGUAAGGAAGUUGGCAGAAUCGAACACGGAUAAGCUGAUAAGGAUUUGCUAUAAAUCAUCUGUUCCGAUGAGCAAGAUGGAUUUACCGGAAAUCGUAAAUAAAGACGAAUUCUCAUCGAAAGCUGCCGUCGACGUGGUGGACAAGCUAUUCCUAGUAUCGUUGGACAAGUUCGAUGAGGAAACGCAGCGGGAACCCGUCGAGGAUCUCUUGAGGGCGACUACUCCUAUCUUGGGAACCGGGCGUAAAGCUAGCAAGACCGAAACCGGAAUCUACCUAUCGGCGGAUGCGAUCAGCACGGUCCCGGUUUAUUUUACAGCUUCCACACAAAACAACCGCCUGAA